AGCAGCCGCGGUAAUUCCAGCUCCAAUAGCGUAUAUUAAAGUUGUUGCAGUUAAAAAGCUCGUAGUUGAAUUUCGGGAUCAAAUUGUCGGUCGUGCCUCGGUACGUACUGGUAUUAUUGGUUCCUCCCUUCUGACGAACCACGAUGUCAUUAAUUUGGUGUCAUGGGAAAUCAGGACUGUUACUUUGAAAAAUUAGAGUGUUUAAAGCAGGCUCGCGCUUGAAUACAUUAGCAUGGAAUAAUGAAUAGGACGUUUGAUUCUAUUUUGUUGGUUUCUAGGAUCGACGUAAUGAUUAAUAGGGAUAGUUGGGGGCAUUAGUAUUCAAUUGUCAGAGGUGAAAUUCUUGGAUUUAUUGAAGACUAACUACUGCGAAAGCAUUUGCCAAGGAUGUUUUCAUUAAUCAAGAACGAAAGUUAGGGGAUCGAAGACGAUCAGAUACCGUCGUAGUCUUAACCAUAAACUAUGCGACUAGGGAUCGGAUGAUGUUAAUUUUUAAUGUACUCAUUCGGCGCC
rnacentral:rRNA from 1 species